GUUUGCUGGACCUACAAAUAAGGGCUUUCUUCCAUCACAUAAAGCAUCUGUCUGGUUCUUCUCUUGCUGGUUAUGAGCUUUUGUGAAAUUCCACUCAGUUCUAGUUCCCAUAGUAACCCACCAACUAAGGCGUCAAACACUUACUGAGGGGAAAAAACUACAAGAUUCAGUAUGAUUUGGCUCUAAUUAAGCCCCCACCCACAUGCAGAGCAAGUAAACAGGGUGAAACUGUCACAUCGGCUUUUCUGCCCUGAUGUUAGAAACAAAAACUAUAUCUGUGACUUUGUACAGCACGUAAUGAGAUCAAAUCAACUGCCGGGUGUCUUAUAGUCGUUUCCCCACAUUUGUUGUGCUGUGUCGUUAGUGUGUAUACGUGUACAGCUUAUUGUGAAGUCUAUUUAAAAUCAUUACCUGACCGAACAAUAACGAUGUUUGUGUACAAUAAUGUACAGACUGUGACUCCUGAAAACAGUGUUUCUUGUGUCUUGUGAAUGAUUCAAUGUGAGCGAAUGAGGAAGUGCUGCGGGUAAAUGGGGCAUCUACGUGUGUGUGCCAGCGCGCAGGCUAUAGCUGCAUUUACAAAGCGCCAAAGUGAUUUUGAAGUCAUCGUGGCGCAUUAAAAACAAGAGACCACGCUGUUUCUACGUUUUCACGUUCGCCAUCAAGACUCCAAAUCAGUUUAUUAUGGUCUUUGUAAAUCCAGCACAUUAAGCAUGAAUUUUUAAGUUUUGGAUCAUUUGACCAUCACUGAAUGUGUAUGGAAGACAAUGCAGAUGUGAAAUGUAAUUUUCACUUUGACAAAAACAAAAAAGGAAAAAAAAAAAAAGGAAACUCAAGUGCCUCUAUUUGUGUCCGGUGGGAAUUGCUCUAUUUAUUUAAAACAAAGAAUGAAUCUAAAUGAUUUUCCAUACCAUAUUGGUAUAAAUAUGAGAUUGUUUUUCGUAAAAUCAAAUGUUUCCAUAAGCUUUUUACUGGCGUUUAUGAAGACACCAGGGUUUGGCUUUAAAAGAAAAAAAAGAAAAAAGCAAACAAACAAACGUGAUAAUGUGCCAAAUUAGCAUCUGUUGCUGUGUUUUCUCUUUUUGACAGUUUGAGCAAGUAUAGGUUUGUCUGAAAUACCUGAAAUUUUUAAGUCAUCGCAUGCAAUAAAUGAUAGCUUCAGACCAAGAACUACUUGUGUCCAUUUUGACAAAAAAAAAGUAUAUUUCUUGUUACAUAAGUCACAUGCAGUGUUGCAAAGGUCGACGUCUCAUGAAAAUACACAGCCAUUUAAAUGCACAACGCUACAGCUAACAGUCUGAAACCUCAAGAACAUUAAACCUUAAAGAAAUAAGUGGACAUUUUGGGAAUAUUUUUCUUACUUCUUUCUGAGAAUAAAAACUCAUAUUUGUAUAUGAAAUAUAAAACCUAUAACUAACAGCUAGUUUAUGUAAAUUAGUAAAAAAUUUAAGCUCAGUGAAUGUAUAUAAAAGAUUGACGUAACCACCCAACAGUCUUCAAAAACUACAGUUUUGAAGCUUUAUAUCUUUCUUUGUUUUUGAAUCAGAUGUGACUGUUUUAAAAAAGAAGAGGCUAAGCUAGCUUGUCUAGUUACAAGCUAGCCUUUUUAGCGAGCCAUAUUCACAAUUCACUGAUAUAACUGGGAAGCUAAUACUAGCUAUUGCUAUUAGCUUAAAACAAAGUAGACGAAAACAAUAUCAAACAAGCGGUUAUGCCCCCUAUACAUAACUUGCUUUAAUACAACAAAUAAAAUUCAAAUGGUUUACAUUUGAAUAAAAGGCAUCUCUAUUUUGGUUGUACGCUAAAUUUGUUUUUUUAAACGGUAUAAAAAAUGGACGUAGCUAACAUGAUAUCCCAUUUUAGAUACUAAACAUUACCAUUUUCACAAUUUUAGUUUCAAAAUACCAGAUGCCACAAGGACGGGUGGGUUUAAACGUGAAACCACUUGCUCACUGGUGAACUACUUGUUAAUCAUAAAUUAGUUAGCUAAGUAAGUUAGCUAAGGAACCAAAUUAUCCUACACAUCCAAAUGUAGUAUAACCAAGACUUACAGUGUUGCCAACUCCUCAGUAAGGAAAAUCGCUAUUGGUUGUCCUAAAAGUCGCUAGAAGUCGCUAAAUGACGUCAUCGCCUAAUUUGCAUAAUUGGUCAUACUAAUGUAAUUGUAACCUAAGUUGUUGGAGAGAGAAACAACAUCGUGGAAGAGACAUAAAGUGAGUAAAAAUUGCAUUUAGAACUACAAAUUAAAUUUCUUUCAGCAAUUAUUGUUUUUUUUAAUGUCACAGUUCCAACCCUGCUCCUUUAUCCGGGCUUGGACCGGCAAAAGUAACCCGAAAAUGGCACUCUGGUGGAGUUACUUUGUGUGAGUGGGUGUGUGUUUAUAAGUAGUUUUAAACCUUGUGAUCCACAAAACAGCAUAACAGUAAAAGACUAACUGCGUUACAGUCAGUGCGGGAAUAGCGGCUUCGGUCAUGCGCGAUUCAUUUGCAGUCUGGACGCACAGGUGUGAACAUCUGCUGCCCUGAUAGCAGCGGGGGGUGGACUAUCCUCCGCCUGUGAGCGCUUUGGCAUGGGUGAGGUGCCCACGGCAGCACCGCUGCUUGUUGAGAAUAAGAGCGAUACGCGUUUUUAACGUCAAAAAGUCGUCAUAAAUAAGUCUCCAAUAAUACCAGAAAAAGUCGCCAAAUUUGUUGCUAGUCGCUUUUUAGAAAAAAAGUUGCUAAGGGAGUCUGAAAACUUGCUAAAUAUAGCGACAAAGUCGCUAAGUUGGCAACACUGCUUACAUAAUGCACCAUACGGUAACAGCAACCACAGCUAGUGCCAUCUGGUGGCCUUCAGAGACAAUGCAAGUUUAAGGCUUAAUUUUUUUGACCUAGAAGCUACGUUCAUGUUUUAUACGUGUAUGCUGAUGCUAGCUACAUCUAGCGUUUUACUGUUUAAACAUUGGAAAUAAGACUAUUUCCCAAAAUGUCAAACUGUUCCUUUAAAAUGGACUCAUGGUUCUUCAUCUGAACGACUAAAAUGCUUACUAAUCACCAUUUAGACAGCUGUCCAAGCUCCACUUUCUGUUGCUUAACAAUAACGCUUUUUACAGUUGUUUCUUGUAUUUAUUUGAGGUCUUGAAGCCAAAUUAGGAUUGUCCCAGCGAGCCACUGAACUUCUACAACAACCUGUAAACACUACCCGCAAACCGUUUCUCUCUGACCUCAGUCGUUUCAAGUCGAUAGUUGGUCCGCAGUGUUGCUCAGUCCAAUUCAAUGAUGUUUGGUGUUGUUUUGUUUUAUGGUGAAACUGUGAUGUUACUAUAUGGUUAUUGUUAAGUUCACUUAAUGGUCCCUUAUUCUUCUUGUAUGCAGCGGUACAAUAUACAAUAAUAUGCUGUAAAAAGUCAGAAACAUUGCAUUUGUGACAUGGGAAAUAUCAGUUUCAUUCCACUAUGGUACAUGUCACAUGACAGCUAUGGUAAAUGUUGAAUUCAUGCAACAGUUUAUUUAUAUGCAAUGUCAAUAUGUGGGUAUAUUCUGAAACAUUUUGAAGACAGACUUUUCUCAGCAUGGCCUUUUAUUCUGCUGGCAUCUUAUUAAAUAUCUCAUUAGCUCCUGUUGCAUUAUCACAGUUGUCAACUUGUUUAUCGAAGGCAGAAACAUCAUCACUGCUGUUGUGAUUACAAUAGAGCUAAACACACUGAUUUAUUUUUUGACAGCAGAUGGUAGCAAGCCGAUAAUACACUGAUAAUCUCUCCAGUAGUGACGAGUGUCUCUAAUAUUUGUUUGCAUUUCACAAAAUCACAGAUUCGCUUUGAUUGCCAAAACUGUCUCAUACAAUAAAUGAACUAGCAGGAUUUAAAAAGAUAAUAAAGGGUUUGAUUUUUUCUUCUCAAAUUCCUGUAAUCUACCAGAGAGAUGUUUUCUUUUCUUUUGUGUUCGUCCUCAUUCGUUCUACUGUCAGAGUCAUGCAGCAGUGUUACAAAUAAGAAUUAUCCAAUAAAUAAGAAUUUGUUGAGGUUAGUGGAAGGAGACGUUAAUAUGCUCUUCACAAAAACAAGAAAUAUGAUCGAUAAUCAAGAGAUAACCAACAAGCAUCUCUCUGACUGUUCUUUAGUAAAGAAAAGUUGGCAUUUCUGGAAAUGUUCUGAUUUGCCUUACAAAGUGAUGAAUACAUCAGCACCACUCUCACGUCAGUGUAAGUUAGCCUAGCUUGGCAUUAAGCUAGAAAGCAGUGGAAAACUACAUCCCUAUCUCUAUUCAAAGUCAAAAACUGCGCCUCUAAAACGAAUACAUACAGCUCUGCUAUCACUUCCAACAUAAAUGAAGACAGAAAACUAAACAGCAGUGACGUUUGUAAGGUUACUGGAGUUGGGCUAGCUGGUAUAUAAUGAUGUGCUAUGUUAGCAUAAUGCUAACUUAUUUUUCCACUGGAUAAAAGUUAACAUGAGGGUUCCCGAUGGUUAGGGACAAAUGCGAUCGCAUGGUAGGAUGCUGUAAACGGACCAAACUUCAGUCAGAACAACUGAGAUAAUCCCUCCGCAAUGCGAGGUUAGUCAUUAAUAUACUGCAACAACAUGGGAAUAGAGCAGCUGCCAGAGAAUUCGACAUUAAUGAAUCAAUGGUACAGAAGUGGAGGAAGCAAAAGAAUGAGUUGAGUAAAGUUUGACAUAUCUGACUGUUUUGUUUCGCUUAAUGCGCCUUAUAAACCGGUGCGCCUUAUGGUCCGAAAAAUACAAUAAAUUAAUAUCUUGGUACAAUUUCUAAGUCAUAUACGAAUACUGACAUUCUGCACCAUCUUGUGGUUCAGAAUGGUACUACACCAGAAUCUUAACAGCGACAUACAACAUAAACUACAACAUAAUAUUCACAAUUAAUAUUAUACAACACUAAAAGAAAAGGAUUACAUUUGAGGGGCCUUAAAGUCGCCUGCCUUGUGUUAUGGGAUGGGUAGUUCACCAAUAAAAGUAUUUAUGUACACAGUCUGCUACUUCUGCAUAGUCAUGAUUCACUUCAUAUCUGUGUUGCUUGGUUCAAAGCUUGAAUUUGUGGAAGUGGGAAAGUCAUUUCUGGAACCAGAGCCCUUAAAAACAUGGGCGGCCACAAACAUGCUGCGAUUUCAGAUAAUAUCUCUGCAGUACGAUACUUAGCCGCUUUCUGUUGAUGGCAAAAUAUUUGAAAAAUAUAGAAGUAAAGAACGCGCCAUCUCUUGGAGACACUCUGCAAUUGAGUUAAAAUUAGUGUAUUCAUAGUGGAAAGUAGAGACACCCCAGAAGAGAGAGGGCAGAGUCUCUGUCCAGCAGUUCUAAGUGGCUGUAUCGUUAGCCCAUUUUAGAAGAUUAAGCCCACUUUUAACAUUUUAGCUAGGCUAGGCUAGGCUAAUGAGCUUAUGGUUCUGAGCCCAUAUUAAACAUCUGGCAUGAAAGUAGUGUCCUGAAAAGAAAAGCAACGAGAACAUUUCCUAUAAUGCCUAUUGACGAGGAUAGAUAAAAUAUUGACUAUUCUAAAAUAAAAUUUCUAUUAAUAAUCAGCACUUCAGUUGUAUCAUGUUCUCUAUUUUACAGUAUAUUGGAAAAGUGGAAAAAAGAAAAAGCAAGAUCAUAUUUCCAAAUAGUCCAUGAUAUUCCUUCUACGAUCACGUGACCUUCUACCAUGAAGCCUUCACUGCCUUGUGUGUAGCAUUUCUGUGAUUGCUAUUUUGCUUUUCUUCCUGGAACAUAACAGUGUUAAAUCAUGUGGGAAAUCAAAACGGUCCAAGUGUAACCGACCCAUUUAACAGGAAGUUUCUUUAAGGUUUUCAGUCGCUCUGUUCCCUGCGGUGAAAAACUGUUGCUCGAAUAAGCUCGUUUCUGCUCCGCGACUCUUAAUAAUGUCCAAAUUAAUCUCGAGAAGGGCAGCAGCUUUUAAACUAUAAUAGUGUAAUUGCUCAAGAUUCAUUGGUGAAAAAUUGUCAUCAGCUCGUCUAGCCUUUUUCUCUUUCAUCUUUGUUGCGGUGGAAGAAUAGCGCCAUCUUCCUGAUUAGUGCAAUAAAGCACAUGGCUGAAUUCCCGCCGCAUGAAUACAGCGUACGCCACGUGUGGUAUUCAGUGACGUUAAACUGCUUAAAUCCAAACUGUGACGUGUUAGUUAGGCAACCAAAUAAGUUUAAGACUGUGUAUCUGAAGCCUGACACUGGUGGUACAGCAGCAGCACAGUGCCUCUGAUCCAGCCUGACUAAUCUGUCUGUGAAUCUGAUGCACAUCACUGGCAUAACGAAACAUAAAGAACAAAAUAAAAGUUCUGUCCAACACGGAUUGCAUUGUAUUUCUAAAUGUGUUGCACAGUUUUUUUUCUGUUUUUAUCAGUGCUAUCUUUUGGCCUUUUCUAUGGUUCUUUUUAUAAUGAAGUUGUUCUAUGUGAUGAUCAAAAGUUGUGAUGCAGUUCCAUUGUUUUUAAAUAUUUAAUGUCUCUAAAAUAUGGAUUAAAAUCUGUUUGAAGCAGCCAUCCUGCCGUACUCACUGUCUUCUUUCUGUCUUUUUUAUUGCAUUCGGGCUGAGGUCUUCAAAGUUGCCUUGCAAGGAUGUGCUGAACCUCCCUUUGACAUUGCACAUAGAGGCAACAGCAGAAGGCUGAGACAUUGCCAAAGGUUCCAGCAAGUGUGUUUUUUUCCCCUAAUGAACCAA
ensembl:lncRNA